rnacentral:rRNA from 1 species
UACGUAGGGUGCGAGCGUCGUCCCGGAAUUAUUGGGCGUAAAGAGCUCGUAGGCGGUUUGUCGCGUCUGCUGUGAAAACCCGAGGCUCAACCUCGGCCUGCAGUGGGUACGGGCAGACUAGAGUGCGGUAGGGAGAUUGGAAUUCCUGGUGUAGCGGUGGAAUGCGCAGAUAUCAGGAGGAACACCAAUGGCGAAGGCAGAUCUCUGGGCCGUAACUGACGCUGAGGAGCGAAAGCAUGGGAGCGAACAGG